rnacentral:rRNA from 1 species
CCUACGGGAGGCUGCAGUGAGGAAUAUUGCACAAUGGGGGAAACCCUGAUGCAGCGACGCCGCGUGAGUGAAGAAGUAUCUCGGUACGUAAAGCUCUAUCAGCAGGAAAGAAACUGACUGUACCUGACUAAGAAGCCCCGUCUAACUACGUGCCAGCAGCCGCGGUAAUACGUAGGGGGCCAGCGUUAUCCGGAUGUACUGGGGGUAAAGGGAGCGUAGACGGGGCGGUCAGUCCGGAGUGAAAGUCCAUGGGUUAACCAUGGUACUGCUGUGGAAACUGGAGAGCUUGAGUGCGGGAGGGGCAGGCGGAAUUCGUAGUGUAGCGGUGAAAUGCGUAGAUAUCAGGAGGAACACCGGCGGCGAAGGCGGCCUGCUGGACCGUAACUGACGCUGAGGCUCGAAAGCGUGGGGAGCAAACAGGAUUAGAUACCCCAGUAGUC